CUUAUCCGUACACGCUGUCGGUCAAUGGGACGACGUAUAGCUUACCAGCGAUAGAAGUUUAUAUGGAAAUUGCAAUUCACGCGUCCCAAUAUAAGGCGAUAAGAAUGACUUAUCGGGUAUAUUGGGACAGCUUCAGAUUAUUGACAGCUAAUUACUGACAGUAGAAGGUACUAAUUUAUCUCUAUCUGUAGAUAGUAUAUUGAGAACGGCCGUUAAUGAAUUUUAAACUACGAUAGUGAUAACAAAAUAUUCUAUUCAAAUUCAGUGGCGUAGCGUGCCUUGGCGGGGCCCCGUAUAGAAAUUAGCUUAGGGGCCCUUAUGAAGGGUAAAGAUUUCUCACAAAGGAAAAAAAAAGUUUGCAUAAAAUUAAAAGAAAUAUUUAUUCAUCAUAAUUAUCUAAAGCUGAUGAUGACUUUAGUUUUUUUUUUUAUUUUUUUUUUUGACUUUUGUCAUUUCUGAAAUAAUAAAAAAUUUGGGAAGUUUUUAUUUAUUUUUUCCUACGCGCGUCGGAGGCCGCCGUGGUCCGGGGUAUAUAAAAAUACAUUUAUUUUCUCAAAAUUGAUUCCUCUAGAAUUUUUUUUGAUGUCAUUUCUAAUAUAUUAGAUACUACUACCGCUUCAGAAACAAAUGGCGCUCUGAGAGAGAAGAAGCGGCGCAAGAAAUUCCCAGCAAUUUUUUUUGCGCUCUUUUUAAUCAAAUAUACAAUAUUGUAUUGUCUAUUUGGUUAAAAAGAAAAUCUUUCAAUAGCAAUUAUUGCUAUAAAAUAAUCAUAAUCUAGUCCCAGGCUGUCGGAUCACUUAGAUAUUCAGCUGUGGAGUAGUACGAUUUACGACAGAGCCAUUUUUUUUAUAAAACAUUUAAAUUUAUUUACCCAUAGAUAAUGCCCGAACUGUGGGACUUUAUUAUCAAAGUGUAUACAUUUACCCUUAAAGCUAUUAUGUAUCUUGUGAAGCCUACUAGAAUUAUUUACAAUCAAUCCCUUAUUUCUAGUGUUAUAAUAAUGAAAAUCACUAUUAAGAGCGAAAAGGUGACGAUUUUUGUGAACGUAUAUUAAAUUUUCAUAAAUGUAUUGACAAUGACGUACCUACAUAUAAUUGAUAGGGCAGAUACGGCGGUAGCUACGCCCCUGUUCAAGUUGCUCACAAGUAAAGGAAAGAGAGUCACUUAUGGCUUAAAAUUGCAUGCUCUAUGGGUCACUUUGCCGUGCAUUAGUUUGUAGGUUUCGCUUAACAUAUUAGGUGCUAAUCAAUGUAUACAUUAUAUAUGUGCACUUAUUCUUUUUAUACUACGUUUUAAAAUGCAGAUGACAUUGACAAUAUCAGCUGUUCCAUUUACGAGUACUAUAUUAUAUAUACUUACUGUAAAGCUGAUAUUUCUUAGCAGCGUUAUCUUACGAAUAUUCUUUUAGGUGAGAAUUUAUCAAUAUAUAAACAAUGAUAUUAUAGUAUUAAAAGAGGUAGAUAUAUCACUAGCGCGCCGAAAAUCAAUCGCCUAAAUUGAGUCAAUUGGUUCCUUUGGUCGUAGUCGCUCCCUCGAUACGAAAACGGUACAUACGCGUUUGUUGUUGACAGAAUUGCUUACAAUUUGAUAUAGGUACAACAUUAAAAUGCCGUCUUGUGUUAUGGGAAGAUAGAAUUAUAUAAUUACACAUGAAAUCAUGAAUGAUAACAUUUUAUUUGAUUUCAUUAUUUAUGUAACAAAAUAAAUAUGUCGCCGUGACAACGCCGAUCGCCGCAAAGCCGAUCAUAGAUUAAAGUACAGAAAUGACAAAAUAUUGAUGCUGUCUGUUGCGGGAUGAUCGAAUAUUUAAGGAAAUUAUGUAAAAAAGUCGUUGCAGUGAAUUUAAUACGAAAUGUAAUAAUUUUUAAUAAACAAGUGCGUAUAUAGGUAGCUGAACUAUCAAACUACUAUCUACUUUUGAAUAUCAUUGUCUAUAAAUAGAUAAUUUUAGACAUUAUAAAUAUAUAGAACGUUAAUUUUAAUGAUUUGUAAUUCGUUUGUACAGUUGCACCAAGAUUUAUUUCAUAUUAGUGAAAAAUAUGUUUAUGUAUAAUAUUUUAGAUUGUUAUAGUUAAUAUAAUUUGCUUUAUUCGAGAAUAAAUUGAAGAACUAAUUUAAUUGAA